rnacentral:tRNA from 1 species
UGAGGGAAGAAUUCGUAGGUAGAAUGCUAACUUGUCACGUUAAAUGUUGCGGGUUCAAAUCCCGUUUCUCUCGGC